AACGAACGCUGGCGGCAGGCCUAACACAUGCAAGUCGAGCGAGAUCUUCGGGUCUAGCGGCGGACGGGUGAGUAACGCGUGGGAAUAUGCCUCUUGGUACGGAAUAGCCUCGGGAAACUGGGAGUAAUACCGUAUGUGCCCUUUGGGGGAAAGAUUUAUCGCCAAGAGAUUAGCCCGCGUUGGAUUAGGUAGUUGGUGGGGUAAUGGCCUACCAAGCCGACGAUCCAUAGCUGGUUUGAGAGGAUGAUCAGCCACACUGGGACUGAGACACGGCCCAGACUCCUACGGGAGGCAGCAGUGGGGAAUCUUAGACAAUGGGGGCAACACUGAUCUAGCCAUGCCGCGUGAGUGAUGAAGGCCUUAGGGUUGUAAAGCUCUUUCAGCUGGGAAGAUAAUGACGGUACCAGCAGAAGAAGCCCCGGCUAACUCCGUG
rnacentral:rRNA from 1 species